rnacentral:rRNA from 1 species
GACGAACGCUGGCGGCGUGCUUAACACAUGCAAGUCGAACGGAAAGGCCCUGCUUGCAGGGUACUCGAGUGGCGAACGGGUGAGUAACACGUGGGUGAUCUGCCCUGCACUUCGGGAUAAGCCUGGGAAACUGGGUCUAAUACCGGAUAGGAGCCAUUUUUAGUGUGAUGGUUGGAAAGUUUUUUCGGUGUAGGAUGAGCUCGCGGCCUAUCAGCUUGUUGGUGGGAUAAUGGCCUACCAAGGCGGCGACGGGUAGCCGGCCUGAGAGGGUGGACGGCCACAUUGGGACUGAGAUACGGCCCAGACUCCUACGGGAGGCAGCAGUGGGGAAUAUUGCACAAUGGGCGCAAGCCUGAUGCAGCGACGCCGCGUGGGGGAUGACGGCCUUCGGGUUGUAAACUCCUUUCGCUAGGGACGAAGCUUUUUGUGACGGUACCUAGAUAAGAAGCACCGGCUAACUACGUGCCAGCCGCCGCCGUAC